CAGCAUUUGUAUCACAACCGGUAUCUACGGAAUACGGAUUUGGAACAGUUAAAAGAAGUAUUUGAGUCCAUCAUUUUAAUGAGAAGACAGUGAUGGGCCGGUACCUACACAGACUGGCCAUGAGGGCAGGAACACAGGUCCUGUCCCCCAUCCCGGAGUCGCCAUCCACAUCCCUUCCCCCAGUCAGCGAUGCUGACACGGGCAGUCAAGCUGUAGAUGACACAGAGAAAUGUGUGGCGCAGUCUGAUGUCAACAGUUC